UCAAUGUGUGGUCCUGGGACCAGCAGUAUUAGCAUCACCUGGGAACUUGUUCUAACUGCAUAUUCUCAGGCCCUACUCUAGACCUAUUGAAUCAGAAAUUGUGAACAUGGGAUCCAAAGAUCUGUGUGUAACAAAUUCUCCACUCUAGGCAGAAGGGAUGACAAAUUGAAAAGCACAGAGAUGUAAAAGGGUAAGGAUGGGUUCAAAAAAUGGUUAAGAGAAGUGAUGAGUUUAUAUACACACAUACAUAUAUAUAGUAUAUAUAUAUCUAUAUAAAUACACAUUAGGAAAAUUUGAAUACUGACUGGCUAUUUGAUGAGAUUAAGGAAUUAUUGUUAGUUUUAAAAGAUAUGUUAAUGACAUUGUGGUUAUGUUGUAAGAGUCCUUAUCUUUUGGAGAUACAUACUGAAAUAUUAUUUCUGGGUAAAAUGAUGAUUAUCUGGAAUUUGCUUCAAUAUAAUAUGGAGGGGGGCCAGGCAUGGUGGCUCACUCCUGUAAUCCCAGCAGUCUGGGAGGCUGAGACGGGCAGAUCACCUGAGGUCAGGAGUUUGAGACCAGCCUGGCCAACAUGGUGAACCCCGUCUCUACUAAAAAUACAAAAUUAGCUAGGCGUGUGCCUGUAAUCCCAGCUACUUGAGAGGCUGAGGCAGAGAAUCACCUGAGCCCAGGAGGUGGAGGCUGCAGUGAGCUGAGAUUGAACCACUGUACUCCACCCUGGGCAACGGAGUGAGACUCCAUCUAAAAAAAAAAAUAUAUAUAUAUAUAUAUAUAUACACACACACACACACAUUUUUGCCCAGGCUGGAGUGUGGUGGUGCAAUCUCAGCUCACUGCAACUUCCACCUCCCAGGUUCAAGCAAUUCUCCUGCUUCAGCCUCCCGAGUAGCUAGGACUACAGGCGCAUGCCACCACACCUGGCUAAUUUUUGUAUUUUUAGUAAAGAUGGGUUGGCCAGGCUGGUCUUGAACUCCUGACCUCAGGUGAUCCACCUGCCUUGACCUCCCAAAGUGGUGGGAUUAGAGACGUGAGCCACCAUGCCUAGCCCAUUAUACUACUUUUUAUACUUCUGUAUGUAGUUGGGAAUUUUUUUUUUUUUUUUGAUGGAGUGCAGUGGUACGAUCUUGGCCCACUGCAACCUCCACCUCCCGGGUUCAGGUGAUUCUCCUGCCUCAGCUUCCUGAGUAGCUGAGAUUACAGGCGUGCACCACCAUUCCCGGCUAAUUUUUGUUAUUUUUAGUAGAGAUAGGAUUUCAUCAUGUUAGCCAGGCUGGUCUCGAACAGCUGACCCAGGUACUCCAGAAGGUGGCUUGAGCCCAGGAAGUGGAGGUUGCAGUAAGCUGAGAUAGCACCACUGCACUCCAGCCUGAGUAACAGAGAACCUGUCUCAAAUAAUGAUGAUGAUGAUGAUGAUGAUAAUAAUAAUAGAAAUGUAGGCUGGGCACGACUGAAAUAUUGAAAAUAUUUACUUACCAUACCGAAAUUAACUCUGGUUGAUAGUUAAAUAUGGCUUUCUGGAUUUUUUUUUACCUCGUAUAUACAAACAGGUAUACCUUUAUUUUACAUGAAAUUCUAUAACUUUAUUUUAUGAAUAUCAUGGAUGGCUUGUCAUGUCAUUACUUGUGUAUUUAAUAUCUGCCUUAUUCUUUUCUUUUUUUUCUUUUUUGAGGUGGGGUCUUGCUCUGUCACUCAGGCUGGAGUGCAGUGGCAUUCAAUCACGGCUUACUGAAGCCUUGACCUCCACAGGGAUGUGCCACCAGGCCAGGUUAAUUUUUUUUUUUUUUUAAACGGAGCCUGGCAACAGAGCGAGACUGCAGUGGCGCAGUCUUGGCUCACUGCAACCUCCGCCUCCUGGGUUCAAGUGAUUCUCCUGCCUCAGUCCUCCCGAGUAGCUGGGACUACAGGCACGCACCACCAUGCCCAGCUAAUUUUUGUAUUUUUAGUAGAGAUGGGGUUUCACCAUGUUGGCCAGGAUGGUCUCAAUCUCUUGACCUCUUGAUCCGUCCGCCUUGGCCUCCCGAAGUGCUGGGAUUACAGGUGUGAGCCACUGCGCCGGCUGCCAGGUUAUUAAUAAAAAUUUUUAUUUUUUGUACAGAUGGGGGCUGACUGUGUUCCCCACUCAGGCUGUAUUACAUCUUCUGAAGAUGCAUCUGAGUUGUUAGCUUCCACGGUGAACUGUGGCUUGAGUGGAGAUUCUGUAAUAAAGACCUUCUAUAAGUUAACGAAUGCUUCUUUCAUCAUAAAGACUGUGUAGUGCACUACAGCAUCAAACUCCUGGGCUUAAGCUAUCGUCCACCUCAGCCUCCCAAGUGGCUGGGACUACAGACAUGCAUCACCAUGCCAGGCUAAUGCCUUAUUCUUUUCAAUGUUUCUUUUUCUUUUUUGGUAAUUUAUAAUUUUUUUCACUUUUUUUUUGAAACAGGGUCUUGCUCUGUCGCCCAGGCUGGAGUGCAGUGACGUAAUCUUGGCUCACUGCAGCCUCCACCUCCCAGGUUCAAGCGAUUCUCC
rnacentral:lncRNA from 1 species